AAAAAUAAUAAUAAGUUUUGUUGUAAAAAUUUUUCGCAGCUAUGAUCAUCGCGCCAAUUUUUUAAAAUAUUUUGUAAGAAUUAUUUUAAAUCUAUUACAAAAAAUAAAUUUUUUUAUUUAUAAGGUUUAGUGGCUAAUGUUAUAAAGGCUACUAUACUAUUAAAGUCUCAGAUUUUAAAGAAUGAUGUAAAAUAUAGUACUAAAAAAAGGGCUUGAUAGUUGGUAUCCGAGACCCUAGAGCAAGUGGCAAAGGGCUUGAUGGUUGGUACCCGAGACCCAAGUUCGAAUCCUAGUUUAUUCACAUUUCCAGCUAAGUUUAUUUCUAAAUGAAAUAAACGAAGCGGGUAGCGUGCUACCUAUCUCUCUCUCAAAAAAAAAAAAAAAAAUCCUUAGUUGCCCUAGUCAAAAGAGAACGAAAACCCUUUAUCCCAAGUCCCAACCCAUUCAUGCACCCACCGCACGCAUGCCACUGCGACCUCCUCCCCGGCCGCGACCUCUUCCUCGGCCGGUGAAGCAUCGUGUCGCGUCCUAAUCGUCUUGGUGGCUAUUUCGGUAACAUCGCUCUCUCAUUCCUCUUCCGUCAAUCCUUUCUCUUCCUCAUCAAAUCCAUUUUUAAUCUUUUGCCCUCUUAUCCUCACAUCCAUUUUUAGGAUUUCAAGGAUCUUCUUUC
rnacentral:lncRNA from 1 species